UACGGAGGGUGCGAGCGUUGUCCGGAAUCAUUGGGCGUAAAGGGCGCGUAGGUGGCCCAGCAAGCGUGCGGUGAAAGCUCGGGGCUCAACCCCGAGUCGGCCGUGCGAACUGCUGGGCUGGAGCACUGUAGAGGCAGGCGGAAUUCCGGGUGUAGCGGUGGAAUGCGUAGAGAUCGGGUGGAACACCAGUGGCGAAGGCGGCAUCCUGGCCCUGACCUGACGCUGAGGCGCGAGAGCGUGGGGAGCAAACGGG
rnacentral:rRNA from 1 species